rnacentral:lncRNA from 1 species
AUUUUCACCUGCCUGACGGUGCAGUUGGCUUCGUGUCUGAGAGCAAGCCUCUGGCAGAACUCCAGCCAUCCAGGAACCUCCACCAGGCUCUGUCUGCGCUGGGGGAAGGGGCUCAUGGCAAGAGUGAGUCCCAGAGCUCAAGGAAAUAAAAGCACCCUCCAGGAGGAUGGCCCAGAACGCUCGGUGAGUGGAGGUGCCUCUCUGGCCUCGGGGAGAGUGUCCCAGGGAGACACCGCCAGGCAGGGGAUCCCCAUGACCAGCUCCCCACGAGGUCCCAGCAAACCCCAUCCCUGCCGGCCAGUUAACGGGGACUGAGGCAGUCCCACUUGGGUGCCACACUGCUCCCCUCCCUGGUCCAGCAGUGAGGGGAAGGGGCUUGGGGGCUGGUUUUGCCAGAUGGGCACCACACAGGGGAUGGGACUGCUGUGCUGUGGCAGGUGGAAGACCUUCAUGAAGUCCUAUGGAAGAUGGUGGCAGUGGGUGAGCGCCAGAGCCAGGGAUUUACUCAGACAGAGCAGGCCCCUGGGCAACCCAGCAAGAAAGCUUGCUUCUGGAAAUACUGUGUCAGCAAAUGAGUGGUGCAGGAGGGGGUCUGCCUGCUGCCUGCCUGCCAGCCCGCUCCCUGCCACCACUGCCCCUCUGCCUGCCAGUGGGACCAUCCAGGUGGGACCCCACACCUCGCUGUGGGGUGGUUUACACAGAGCUUUGAAAGGUCUCCGGUCCCUUGGUGGGAAAAGGGGAGAGGGUCUGCAGCAGAGGAGCUGUGUCAUGGGGUACAGGGAUAGUCCCAUCAGGAUCCGGGGUGCAGGACAGUGUUUCUCCCAUACCAGGGAAUCUCCAGGACCCAUGUCAAGGCAGAGCUGCCAGCAUGGCCUGGCAGACACAUGCUGGCUGCCACCAGGAGCUGAAUAA